CAUCUCAGACUGUGUGCCUGACUUCGCCUCAUUUGGUUUGAAUUUACCCUUUCCUGCCAGGCAUAAAGAAAGGACCUCGGGGGUCCCAAGGAACCCCGAGGAUAACUUCUGGAGUUGAAGGCAUUUCUUCUCUGCGGACCACCCUGAGCCUGACUAUGGGGCCAGAUCAGCGGUCAUAAAGGGGCGUAGGAAUGGUACCUGGAUGCUGGCUGUGCCUGUUGGCCGAGGACUGAGUUUGAAAUUAUGUGUCUUGUUCAGCGGCUUUUGAGAGACAAGCCUGAAUAACAGGAGGCAGUGGAUUAUGGAGGACUUCAAAAUGGAGUAAACUCAAGCAGGGCGGAGCAAAGUGGA